UUUCCGUAGGUGAACCUGCGGAAGGAUCAUUAUUGUAUAACCGAGGUGCGAGGGCUGUCGCUGACCCGAAAGGUCGUGCACGCCCGAGUGCCCUCACACACAUCCAUGUCACCCCUAUGUGCACCACCGCGUGGGUCCCCCUUUGGCUUGUUCGGAGGGGGGCUUACGUUUUCACACAAACUUUGUAUGCAGUGUAGAAUGUAUUUUUUGUUUUUGCGAUCACGCAAUCAAUACAACUUUCAACAACGGAUCUCUUGGUUCUC
rnacentral:misc_RNA from 1 species